ACCCUUAAAAAAUUCCUAACUUCCUGUUUCAUCGACCAAUCAGAUUGCUCAAAAAUAAAAUAUAAAAUUUGAUUGGUCAAUGAAACAGGAACUUUUUAAGGAACUUAUCAAAU
rnacentral:miRNA from 1 species